rnacentral:rRNA from 1 species
UACGUAGGGCGCAAGCGUUGUCCGGAAUUAUUGGGCGUAAAGGGCUCGUAGGCGGUUUGUCGCGUCGGGAGUGAAAACCAGGUGCUUAACACCUGGCUUGCUUUCGAUACGGGCAGACUAGAGGUAUUCAGGGGAGAACGGAAUUCCUGGUGUAGCGGUGAAAUGCGCAGAUAUCAGGAGGAACACCGGUGGCGAAGGCGGUUCUCUGGGAAUAUCCUGACGCUGAGGAGCGAAAGUGUGGGGAGCGAACAGG